rnacentral:tRNA from 1 species
GCGGGACAUAGCUCAGUUGGUAGAGAAUGAGAUUCUUAAUCCUGGGGUUGUGGGUUCGAGCCCCAUGUUGGGCA